GGAUGCGAUCAUACCAGCACUAAAGCACCGGAUCCCAUCAGAACUCCGAAGUUAAGCGUGCUUGGGCGAGAGUAGUACUAGGAUUGGUGACCUCCUGGGAAGUCCUCGUGUUGCAUUCC
rfam:Sorghum bicolor cultivar BTx623 chromosome 9, whole genome shotgun sequence.